rnacentral:lncRNA from 7 species
GGUGCCCUUUCUGAUGACUGGAAGAAAGAAUUUUGGAAACUACCAUAGUUAUCACUUUGCUGCUUCUAUUUCCCAAAUCCUGCUGCUGAUGAGACAGACAUCUCUGCUCUAAUAUGGCCAGUGCUAACUCUGGAAAGUAUGUUUGCCGCUUACGGGUAAUGAUGACGAUGCAUAAUGCUACGGCUAGUAUUUAUGCUAUGGAGCACUCUUCAUCUCCAGGGCAGAUAAAAGGCCUUAGUAGAUUGAUCUUCAGAGCACCCCCUGUGAGCGAGACCAUAACUGCUCAUCUGAUGUAGGAGCCUAUUUGCCUUAGAGUUGGUCCUGAUGUUGUCAGCAAAGAAGAGGUCUUUCCAGUAGCUGGCCUGACCAGGAGUGCUGGGGGACUCACUGUGCUUUGGAGGUGACAAGUUCCCUUGACAGACAGAGAACACGGGGUGGCUUUCAGCUAAGGAAACAGCAAGGGACAGAUUGCACUGAGCUGGGAUUGAUAAUUCUGAGGGUGUCCGAAAGAGAUGGAUGAAAGAAGGUCCAUUUGAGAUCACGCUGAGAAACUCCAUGUGCUACACCUUGGAAUCAUAUGGACAAAUUCAUUUUACAGCCUGCAGAGACUAUUAUGAUAAUUGCUUUUCUGAAACAUAGAGUCUUAUCUCUUUAUUUUGCAUGAAGCUGCUAAUGUCUACAAUUUAAAUGUACCAGAUGCUUGCACUAAGAAAGUUUCUAAAAGAUUUCAAAUAGUGAAGAAUCCAUUCUUUCUCUUGCUAAUGUGCUCCCUUUAUUAGUUAUUAAUUUUGUCCUUGUGGCUACCAUCUAUUUCACCCCGUUGCACGUAUUUCCUGCUGAUGUAGAGAUUAAUACAUUAAUAUCUCUCCUCAUAUUCAGAAAUGGGUAACUCUUCCUCCUGUGAUAAAAUAAACAGACUUCUGUCCUUCUUUU